rnacentral:rRNA from 1 species
UACCAUGCAGUCGAGCGGUAGCACGGGAGAGCUUGCUCUCUGGGUGACGAGCGGCGGACGGGUGAGUAAUGUCUGGGAAACUGCCUGAUGGAGGGGGAUAACUACUGGAAACGGUAGCUAAUACCGCAUGACCUCGCAAGAGCAAAGUGGGGGACCUUCGGGCCUCACGCCAUCGGAUGUGCCCAGAUGGGAUUAGCUAGUAGGUGGGGUAAUGGCUCACCUAGGCGACGAUCCCUAGCUGGUCUGAGAGGAUGACCAGCCACACUGGAACUGAGACACGGUCCAGACUCCUACGGGAGGCAGCAGUGGGGAAUAUUGCACAAUGGGCGCAAGCCUGAUGCAGCCAUGCCGCGUGUGUGAAGAAGGCCUUAGGGUUGUAAAGCACUUUCAGCGAGGAGGAAGGCGUUGUAGUUAAUAGCUGCAGCGAUUGACGUUACUCGCAGAAGAAGCACCGGCUAACUCCGUGCCAGCAGCCGCGGUAAUACGGAGGGUGCAAGCGUUAAUCGGAAUUACUGGGCGUAAAGCGCACGCAGGCGGUUUGUUAAGUCAGAUGUGAAAUCCCCGAGCUUAACUUGGGAACUGCAUUUGAAACUGGCAAGCUAGAGUCUUGUAGAGGGGGGUAGAAUUCCAGGUGUAGCGGUGAAAUGCGUAGAGAUCUGGAGGAAUACCGGUGGCGAAGGCGGCCCCCUGGACAAAGACUGACGCUCAG